rnacentral:lncRNA from 13 species
AAAAACAUACACGGGAAACUAUAAUUUAGUACGAAAAACGAAAGUAAAUUAAAAAAUUAUAGUUUAAUUAUCGGCUUCUGCAGCCGACUCGUGACAACAUGUGCCCUAUAUAAAAGUUUUAGACUUUGUAUGUAUGAAAUAAGUAGUUUACUGCGUAUGAAUUAAAUAAAAGAACAAUACGACGCUUGCAGAAUGGUCCUAGAAGCUCUAGUAUGAGAGAAAUGGAUGUCUGAAAAUUGUUUAUGUAAUUUGCACGUGAAUUGGUGCAAAGAGCAGAAAUUGGGUUCAUUGUAGUUCAGAGAUCUUGCAUUAGAGGCGCUAAAGUAAAAAAAACAAGGACAGAUGAGUGCGUUUGACAAAGUGCGCUAGUCUAUUCCCCUUACUCUUCGCCUCACGCGCGACCAACAAUUCGCCGAAAAAAAAUCUACAGCAAUCUGCAGUAUCGACGUUAAGUGAGUUCCACCGUCAGUUCAGCAUCGCCUUAAGUAUUAAUUAUUUUGCUUAUUAUUUGCAUUUUGUUGGUUAUCAUUCUUAAUAACAUUUUUAAUAUUGCUUGGUAGCCAUGCAGGAUAGCUUAAGUUUUGCACCUAAAAUGUCACUAGUUUGCGAGUGAGUACCACCUUAUUGCGGCGUUGGCUGAAUUUUCUUUGUCUUUCGGUUAUCAGAAUGUGUGUUUGUACACCUAUGGUCGCUUUGGUUUGUUUCUCUUCGAAAUAUCAAAAAAUAAAGAAAACGACUUUGUCAAAAGGAAAUAUUUAUUAACACCACACUUAAUAUACAACAAAUCAGACUAAACCGUUGGCGUUUCACGCACAAUUUAAGAGAAAUUAUGAAUUAUUGAACAACCACCAAUACGAGAUGUGCUAAUUGUGGUAAAUUACUAUGAAAAAUUUCAGGCCGCAAGAAAAUUAUUGAAAAUGCAGUGGAGUCUACACAAUAUUUACAAGCCAUAGGAAAAGUCGUGAAACUGAGUGACGUUUUUUGCGAUAAAUGUCGAUUAAUUCUUUAUACAAAUGCACUAACUGAACAGAAUAAAAAUCAGAGUGAGCCUGCAAGUACUUCUUGGCAAAUCCCACAAUCUCAAGAACCAACGGAGUUCUUUGGAUUCUCUCAACGUUGAACUCUGGAUUUGGAGAAUUAUUCUUUAGUUGAUAAGUUACAAACUCAAACUUUCUCAUUUUCUUUAUGUUCUGAUUUUGAAGAGUAUUACUCACAGGCAUCUUCUACUACCAGUUAUUCUCAGUUUAAUUGAUGAUCCGUUUUUUAUUUCUCAAAUAAGUAAGCAAGAUGAUAAUGAAUUAAUUGAAAUGCCAUUACAAUGAGUUGUUUUUACCCAUAAAUAUUGCUUUCUUUGUGGGCUCUCAAAUGAAAUCGUCACUAUCCCAAGAAGUUCGAAUUCAAGUAUUUCAAAAAAAGAGGAUAUUUAUUCCAAAGGGAAAUCGUUGUCCGACGUAUUUGAUAAAAAAGCGUUUUUUUUGCAGAUGAACUAAAUUAUUUGAAAAUUUAUUCAACUACUAGUACAGUAGAUGUGGUGGAUGGACGCGAUCCGAUAGCGCACGGUGCGAUAGCCCACCAACCAAUCAUCUUGAUUUAUCUAACCCAACGGAAAAACUCUAGGCAUCGACCGCUGCGAGUGGUGGUGUGCUAUCGGUUCCGUGCGCCAUCGGGAUCCGCUCGUGGUGGAUCUGACUGAUUUCAUUAACCAAUUGUCAAUCAAGUGUGAUAGCCAAUUGAAGGAUAAAAUUGGAGAUGCUGCCAUAUUUGAUGAACGCUUGAAGAUAUUUACGUGUAUCUCACAAGGGACAAUCUGCAUUAUUUGUGAAAAAGCAUGAUAUCAUUGAGGAAUUUCAAGACUCGCACUGUUUUUUAAGCUUUUGUUGUUUUUUUUGUUUAACAAGAUAACGCCAAUUAGAAAAUCGCUUUUCCAACGAAUCAUAGUGCGUUCAAUAGUUUACAUGUAGCUAAUAAAAAUCCUAAAGGCGUUUGUGCCAAUGGGCCUUUGUUUAGGAGAAAUUACAAAACAAAGUUAGGUUCACGCAACUAUGUCCCAUGUAAAGAAGAACAUUAGAAUCUUUUUCGAGUAAGCGGCGUAGCUCAGUCGGCUAAGGCUUCUGUCCAUACAUUUUUGCGCCGGCGGCGUGCGUUCGAGUCCCGCCGACGACUGCUUCGCUUUUUUUUUCAAUUUUGGAUAUAUAAAAGACACUACAUUAAUCAUUAUUUAUUUUUUUUAUUUAUUUUGUUUUUCUAUGUAAAAAUAAGGAUAUUUCGGGAUGUUUGAACGCAAUACGAAAUAAAAAACAGUUUUAAAGUCAUGAACUGAUUAUAUUUUACAUUAUAGUUUGAGAUAUACUGUGACGUUAUGAAAGCAGAUAAUUAAUUUUUUAUUAAUAUAUUUACCAGGAAAAUAUUCGACCGCAUCCGUCAAGUCUUCCUUCGAAAUAUCGCACUUUGCAAGAAGUUGCACAUAUUCGACAGUUUCAUCGGUAAUAAAUGUUGUCUCCAUUUUUACUGAUGUUUUGUACCACGUUCUCUUUACAAAUGCUACCACGAAACUGGUCAGACCGUUACAACGUGUGAGAGUCCUUUUGUGAAAACCGUUAAAAAGGUCGAAAGGAGGGGGGGGGGGACUUUACCUAACAAAGGUCCUUUCUUACAAGUAAACACUGACGAAUAUACCUGCUUGUUCUUUUGCGAGUCUUAUCUUUUUAUAAUAUUUUAUACUUUUAUUCUACAUAUAAAAAAUUCCACAACAAAAAUAAUAAACCAAAAUAUAAUUUAUAAUUUAUACCGCCAAGAUAUACAUCGAUAUGCGAUGUUUAUUUUUACAUCACUUUUCAUCCACAACAUUGCGAAGCGAUGAAAACCUUUUAUUGUAUGUAAAUAAAUAUAUAAUUAUAAAAGAAAGUUUAUAUUGUACAAAAUAUUCUUGACAAAAUAACACAUGUACAUUGCAUGAGAAAUAUAAUCAGUUUAUGACUU